AUGGAAAGUUGUUUGCCGUUUGGGGGAAAGGUUGUUGUCUUUGGUGGUGAUUUCAGGCAAGUCCUUCCUGUUGUGACACGUGGGACAAGAGCACAGAUCACGGAUGCUACACUUCUGAGAUCCUAUCUGUGGGAUAAGACACGCAAGAUAAGUCUCACGCGCAACAUGCGGGCAUAAUCUGAUCCUUGGUUCUCCGAAUACCUCCUAAGGAUCGCCAAUGGAACGGAAGAGACAAUUGGAGACGACUAUGUCCGUCUCCCUGACGACAUUGUGAUUGGCUAUACCGAGGAUGAAAAAGCUAUUAACACGCUCAUCGAAGAUGUCUUCCCAUCAUUGCAUGCCAAUGCUAGAUCGAGAGAGUACAUGAGUGCACGUACAAUUCUUUCGACCAAGAAUGAUCAUUUAUACCAUAACUUUGACUCAAUUGAGGAUGACUUGCAGAAUAAUUACACAAUUGAUUUUCUGAACUCGAUCACACCAAAUGGCUUGCCUCUGCACGUACUGAGAUUAAAGGUCAACUGUCCGGUCAUUCUGCUCCGAAACCUCGACCCUCGUAAUGGCCUAUGCAAUGGAACACAACUUAUGAUUAGAGCCUUCCAGGAUAAUGCAAUCGACAUGGAGAUUGUUGGUGGUUAGCAUGCUAGAAAGAGGGUGUUCAUACCUAGGAUCCCUAUGUCGCCCUCGGAGGACAUCUCACUUCCUUUCAAACUUAAGAGAAAAUAGUUCCCCAUCUGCCUGAGUUUUGCAAUGACAAUUAACAAGGCGCAGGGCUAGACCAUCCCAAACGUCGGUAUUUACCUUCCCGAGCUGGUAUUCUCACAUGGACAGCUCUAUGUUGCAUUGUCAAGGGGAGUGUCAAGAGAGACAACACGGAUUUUGGCCAAGCCAAAUCAGGAGGUUGAUAAAUCCGGGAAAAGUACCAAGAACAUUGUCUACAGAGAUGUUUUAGAUAGAUGA
rnacentral:rRNA from 1 species